rnacentral:tRNA from 1 species
GAACCUGUGGCUCAAAAGGGAAGGGUGCUGGCCUCCUAUGCCAGAGGUGGCAGGUUCA